CCUACGUGGCAGCAGUGGGGAAUAUUGCGCAAUGGGCGAAAGCCUGACGCAGCGACGCCGCGUGGGUGAUGAAGGCCUUCGGGUUGUAAAGCCCUGUCGGGUGGAACGAACGAUCUGGCGGCGAAUAACCGCCGGGUGUGACGGUACCACCGAAGGAAGCCCCGGCUAACUACGUGCCAGCAGCCGCGGUAAGACGUAGGGGGCGAGCGUGGUUCGGAUUUACUGGUAGUCAAGCAGGCGUAGGCGGCUUGAAAUCCCUCGGCUUAACCGAGGUCCCGCAUCCGAUACUGUCUGGCUCGAGUCUAGGAGAGGAAAGCGGAAUUCCCAGUGUAGCGGUGAAAUGCGUAGAUAUUGGGAGGAACACCGGUGGCGAAGGCGGCUUUCCGGACUAGUACUGACGCUGAGGCGCGAAAGCUAGGGGAGCGAACGGGAUUAGAUACCCCGGUAGUC
rnacentral:rRNA from 1 species